rnacentral:rRNA from 1 species
GUAAGGAAUAUUGGACAAUGGACGCAAGUCUGAUCCAGCCAUGCCGCGUGAAGGAUUAAGGUCCUCUGGAUUGUAAACUUCUUUUAUAAGGGACGAAAAAAGGCUUUUCUAAGUCGUCUGACGGUACCUUAUGAAUAAGCACCGGCUAACUCCGUGCCAGCAGCCGCGGUAAUACGGAGGGUGCAAGCGUUAUCCGGAUUCACUGGGUUUAAAGGGUGCGUAGGCGGGCAGGUAAGUCAGUGGUGAAAUCCUAGAGCUUAACGCUAGGACUGCCAUUGAUACUAUCUGUCUUGAAUAUUGGGGAGGUAAGCGGAAUAUGUCAUGUAGCGGUGAAAUGCUUAGAUAUGACAGAGAACACCUAUUGCGAAGGCAGCUUACUACGCAUAUAUUGACGCUGAGGCACGAAAGCGUGGGGAUCAAACAGGAUUAGAAACCCCAGUAGUCC